GAAACUGCCUCAGGACCUUCCACCCCACUGGCUCCACUGGCCCCACAUGAGGGUGUGAGCAGCCGCGGCCGCUUUCCCGCCCCCGGAGCAAGGCCCCACACCACCCCACGGGUGGCAGAGCGAGAGGCCCUGCUCAGUUGAGAAGAAGCUGCCCUUUGAGACGGGAAGGCAAAAGGGAGAGUAGUGCGGCCCUGGAAAGCGGCGGAAAAGACCGCCAACAUUUUGUUUUUGUAGUGGAGCAUCUUCACCCAGCUUGAAGAACACCAGGGUUCCGGAGGAACACCUAGCAAUCUGGAAGAAGAUGUUAAAAACUUUAAGCAACUGCCAUAGUAAUCACAGUAAUGGAUCUCUGCCAGAAAAAUGAGACUGAGUUAGAAAAUAGUGAAAGUAAUGAAAUUCAAAGCACAGAAGAAGCUGAAUUAACCUAUACUUGUCCAGAGGAAAAAAACGAAAAGAAUCAUGUUUGUUGUCUUCUCAAUAUCAGUGACAUUACACUUGAACAAGAUGAAAAAGCCAACGAAUUUGUUAUUGGAACUGGAUGGGAAGAAGCAGUAAGUACCAUCUUGAGUUAGCUCCCUUACACAUCUGUGUUUUGAUGCAAGUCUUU